rnacentral:misc_RNA from 1 species
AUCUGGACCGCGAUCAUCGGCCGCGCGACCGGCUACCGAGAACUGGUCGUGGCACCCCCGCACAGCACGACCUUGAAGGUCCAGCAGUACUGCCGCGAGCGCGGCCUUUAUCCGCGCGGUGUGGGCAUCGAGCGCCAGUAUGCCUCGCUGCUCGACCCACCCGAGACGGCCGUGCA